rnacentral:rRNA from 1 species
AACGUACGCUGGCGGCACGCCUAACACAUGCAAGUCGAACGAAGUAGCAAUACUUAGUGGCAGACGGGUGAGUAACAUGUAGGUAUCUGCCCUUUGGCCUGGAAUAACACGAGGAAACUUGUGCUAAUACCGGAUAAGUCUUUACGGAGAAAGCUUUAUGCACCAUUGGAUGAGCCUGCACUUGAUUAGUUUGUUGGUGGGGUAAUGGCCUACCAAGACUGUGAUCAAUAGCUGAUUUGAGAGGAUGAUCAGCCACAUUGGGACUGAGACACGGCCCAAACUCCUACGGGAGGCAGCAGUGGGGAAUCUUGCACAAUGGAGGAAACUCUGAUGCAGCGAUGCCGCGUGAGUGAAGAAGGCCCUUGGGUUGUAAAGCUCUUUCGUCGGGGAAGAAAAUGACUGUACCCGAAUAAGAAGGUCCGGCUAACUUCGUGCCAGCAGCCGCGGUAAUACGAAGGGACCUAGCGUAGUUCGGAAUUACUGGGCUUAAAGAGUUCGUAGGUGGUUGAAAAAGUUAGUGGUGAAAUCCCAGAGCUUAACUCUGGAACUGCCAUUAAAACUUUUCAGCUAGAGUAUGAUAGAGGAAAGCAGAAUUUCUAGUGUAGAGGUGAAAUUCGUAGAUAUUAGAAAGAAUACCAAUUGCGAAGGCAGCUUUCUGGAUCAUUACUGACACUGAGGAACGAAAGCAUGGGUAGCGAAGAGGAUUAGAUACCCUCGUAGUCCAUGCCGUAAACGAUGUGUGUUAGACGUUGGAAAUUUAUUUUCAGUGUCGCAGGGAAACCGAUAAACACACCGCCUGGGGAGUACGACCGCAAGGUUAAAACUCAAAUGAAUUGACGGGGACCCGCACAAGUAGUGGAGCAUGUGGUUUAAUUCGAAGAUACGCGCAGAACCUUACCAACACUUGACAUGUUCGUCGCGACUCUAAGAGAUUAGAGUUUUCGGUUCGGCCGGACGAAACACAGGUGCUGCAUGGCUGUCGUCAGCUCGUGUCGUGAGAUGUUGGGUUAAGUCCCGCAACGAGCGCAACCCUCACUUUUAGUUGCCAUCAUUAAGUUGGGCACUCUGAAAGAACUGCCAGUGAUAAGCUGGAGGAAGGUGGGGAUGACGUCAAGUCCUCAUGGCCCUUACGUGUUGGGCUACACACGUGCUACAAUGGUAUCUACAACAGGAAGCAAGAUUGCGAAGUUAAGCAAAUCCCUAAAAGAUACCUCAGUUCGGAUUGCACUCUGCAACUCGAGUGCAUGAAGCUGGAAUUACUAGUAAUCGUGGAUCAGCGUGCCACGGUGAAUGCGUUCCCGGGUCUUGUACACACCGCCCGUCACACCAUGGGAGUUGGUUCUACCUUAAGGCAAGGUUUCAAACCCCUGACCACGGUAUAGUCAGCGACUGGGGUG